UAUAUAUUGUGGUAUAUAUAUGUGCUUUAGAGAUAUAUUCGAUAGGUGGAGGGCCUUAGCUAAUCCAUAUUCUAUAUCUCUCUCUUAUUUUUGUUUUAAUCUUGUCUAUUUUUUUCCCCUACAUAUCUUGCUAGAGUACCUUCCAUGGAAACUUCCCAGCCUCUUUCUAUUGAGAGCUUCUCAUAUAGCUGGCUGGUAAACCUGAAACCAUCUCUUGAAAGCCUGGACAAUUCCCUGAGGGCCUCUCUUGAUGCAUCAGAUGAAGCUUCCUUCAUUGAGAUGGACCCAAAAAUGACACCGUCUAAGAGAUUCUUUAGAAAUUCUCAGGACUUCAAAUUUGAUUUCCCCAUUUCACAAUCUCCUCUUACUGUUGUUCAUGCUGAUGAGCUUUUUUCCAAUGGAUAUGUCAUGCCUUUCUUUGUUGAUCCAUUGAAAAUUGAGACUUAUGAGGUCUCAGAUUCAAGCUCUGCCCUUCCUGCCUCUUCACAUACACCAAAAGUUGUGGCCUCAGAUGGGAAAACUCGUUGUCCUUCGUUGAGAAGGUGCCGGACAUUAUCAAAGCGAAUAUUUCAGAAGUACUUUGAUUUUCUCAGGCCAUUGUAUAGAAGAAUUCGAGGUCACAGGUCAAGUUCUAGAGCUGAAAGUAUGGAUACAAAAGUUCAGGUGGUAGAGGGUUGGCUAUAUUCAGCAGAAACAUCUCCAAGAAUAAGUGUAGCUUACUCUGUUGAUGAUUGGCGGAGGUCUUGUGACUCUGAGAGCUCAAUAUACGAGGCAGUUCUUCAUUGCAAAAGAUCCAUCGGGAAAUAAAUUGAGAGUUUUCAGGCAGUUGUACAAAGAGAAAAGUAAAAGAAGAAAAGGAAAGAAAGAAGAGAGAAGAAAUGAGAAAUGUCCAUAUUCACAUGGGAAGACAAAACGAGAGGACUAAAGAAAGAUCAGCAGCCACUUGUUUUUUUUUUUUUUUUUCCUCUUCUGCUGUGAGGAUAAUUUAAAUUUGGUUUAUGAUGUUAGGAGAAACUGAGUGGAUGGUCGGCCAUGGAAAUUCUGGCCAGCUGAGGGAGAAAAAGAAAUGAAGACAAAUUAAAUUUUAUUUUUGUCUUUCUCUUUGAGGGAGGAAAAGAGUACGGACUGAAUUGAAGAAACUUGCUGUGAAGGCAAAAAAAUUCUAAGGAAAGGUAGCAUAAUCCUGGGGAAACUCAGAAUUCCAGGGUGCCUUGAAGGGACAGUUUGCAUGUGUUUUGGCCUUAUUGUCAUGAGUGUUAGUUGUAUGGUAGACCCCUCAAAAAUUUCACAUGGUAAACUUCAAUCUGAUUUUUGGAACACAAUCAUGGCUUUCAACUCUUUUUGUGCCCA